rnacentral:lncRNA from 1 species
UCUCCACAUAAGGCAAGGCUCCAAAAAGACCAGCUGCUCCAUACAAAUCAAAGUUUUCCAUAUUCAAUUCUAGCGUUAGAUAUUUACAUUUCAACUCUGGAACCGGCAAUCCUUUGAACUGCAACAUGCACGGGACCUGAUGCAGUAAUCCCAGAGAAACUAGUAAAAGAAUGGAGAAAGCAACAACAACGACAAAAAGAAAGUACUUCACAACAUAGAGAUAAUGUAGUGAUAAAUUUAAUUGUCUAAACUCUGAACACAAACCAACAUCAGUGUAAACAAAUACUCAUUUCUAGAUAGAUUUUUUUGCUGGUAUGAUUUAAAAAAAAUACCUAAUUUCCAAAUGCUGACAAAAGGAUUGCAUAAAGACACAACUUUACACAAGUUUCCGUAAUUAGUCCAGUUGCUUUAGAGAAAUUCACCCAAAAGGUUUACACUCUGCAACUGUGCAAAAAAAUUUAUCCCAGAAAUCAAAAACUGUUAGAAAUUUUUAGAAAGUUAAGGUUAUUUCAAUAACUUGACAACACCAAGUGUGCUGGAUAACAAACCUUGCAUACAACAUAGCUAUGCCGUGCACUAAUGAGGUUUGAUGUUUUAUCUAUAUCAUCAACAGUCACGAGAAUAGACCAACAAUCAAAAAAUUACAAGCAAGUAGAUUUAAGGACUUAUAAAGUUAAAAAUAAUCCUCAGUGAACCAUGAUCCGAAUGUUAGCUCAGUUGCACAACUCAACUUUGAAGAUAAUCUUGGAUGAGGAUCCUAAAACCUUGAUGAUAGUCGUGACAACUGUAUUCGUCAACACCAAUAUCAUCACCAUGA